rnacentral:lncRNA from 1 species
AUGCCGUAAUUUCCUAUAUUAGCAUUAGGAUUCCUAAUUAAUAUAGAUUUAAACCCUAGGUAUUCAAUUCUCUAUAAAAAGAACAAAAUCGUCGAGAGAGUCAGAGAGAAGAGCAAAGACACAGUUUUUAAUAGCAAAAGAGUGUUUUCAUAUUGGAGGAUACUGCAAUCGUUUAUUUGGGAUGGGAAAGCUACAAGUUUCAGUUGAUGGAAUACAAAAGGAACAAAAACAUAAACUCAACCCCGAAAAGGAUUUGGUGGUGGUAUGUUUUGACUACGUUCCUAUUUUUAUUUUAUGUUAUUCUAUUUUGUGUUCCAUCGAUUAUGUUCAUGUGAUGUGUGUAAAGCUACAAAUAUGAUGUUGUGAUUAUUUAUUUUGCAGAACAAAGAUGGAAUUUUCAUACAAUACGAGUUUAAUUAUGACCCAUCCCAAAUCUACUCCAGCGGAAAAAUCUACUUCAAAAAUGGCAAAGAAGGAGAAGCUCGAUUUUUUAAAUUCGAAAAAUCGGAAGAGGACUUAGCAAAGAAGACAUUUACCCUGACUUCCAAGUUAGCAAAUUAUGAUCAGCGUGUGGGUGUCUUGAAACCUCACUUCCUCACCUAUUAUGAACCACAAAAUAUUUGGAUUUUGUGCUACGAAAAAUUCAAUCAUCUUCUAAGUGAAAUAAAUAUUGAUGCUGAGGAUUUUGUCAAUGGCGAUUCUCGUAUUCUAUCUUUUUGGUGGCGCAGUUCCAUACGGUAAAAUAUAUUCAUGCUCAUAUAUAUAAUGUAUCGUAUAAUAAUUAGUACUGACAUAAUUUUUUUAAAUCUAUUUGUGCAGGAACCUUUUACGAACGAUAAAGCAUAUGCAUUCUUAUAAGUUUUUUCAUAAGGGUUUGAACAGAAGUGACAAUUAUGUUGUUGUUUCCGGUCGAGUCAAGAUUAUUAACAUCCAAAGUAGUUUUGAAGAUCUUGAAGAUCCUCCUUCACAAGUAAAUGUGUUGAGAAUGAAUGACUUAAAAGCAUUUAGGAACAUGUUAAAGGAAAAAAUAAUGUUGCCAGAAGAUUCUUGGGUUGAUCGUGAUUCUUUCUUUGAUUUCUUUGACAAAGAAGAAUAUCCGUAAGUUCAGUGUACUUGAAUUCUUUUUUUAUUUUUUUCUUUUCUACAUGAAAAAGUACAAUGUAUUUUACUUAAUUUGGCUUACAAACCUUAGUGUUGAAUUUUUGUUGCUUUUGUUUCCAGGUACCAUAUAUUUAUUGAGAAACUAGCAAGCCAUCCCUUUUUAUUAACUCCAGCUGAAAGAAUGAAGAGUUUUUACAGUAUACAUGAUUCUGCAAAUGAAAGCAAGUUCAAGAGAAGAUUAGAUGGUAGGGAAUUCUAUAAGUAUAGGGGAUGGAAUAGGAAAGAUAUGUUUCGUGAGUUCCAAAAGGUUUAUAAAAUUUUCAAUUCGAAAUAUGACGGUGAUUGUGUAUGGGACCUUCUAGAAUUUUUGAAAGAUGUAUAUGAAGAUGAUAAUCGUCGUGAGUUAACCCUUGAUGCUGCCUACGCUGAGGUCAGAAGGUUGUACCCUGAUUUCUU